rnacentral:rRNA from 1 species
ACUCCUACGGGAGGCAGCAGUGGGGAAUAUUGCACAAUGGGGGAAACCCUGAUGCAGCAACGCCGCGUGAGUGAUGACGGCCUUCGGGUUGUAAAGCUCUGUCUUCAGGGACGAUAAUGACGGUACCUGAGGAGGAAGCCACGGCUAACUACGUGCCAGCAGCCGCGGUAAUACGUAGGGGGCAAGCGUUAUCCGGAUUUACUGGGUGUAAAGGGAGCGUAGGCGGCAAGGCAAGUCAGAUGUGAAAGCCCGGGGCUCAACCCCGGGACUGCUUUGGAAACUGUCAUGCUAGAGUGCAGGAGAGGUAAGCGGAAUUCCUAGUGUAGCGGUGAAAUGCGUAGAUAUUAGGAGGAACACCAGUGGCGAAGGCGGCUUACUGGACCGUAACUGACGUUGAGGCUCGAAAGCGUGGGGAGCAAACAGGAUUAGAUACCCUAGUAGUCC